rnacentral:rRNA from 1 species
UACGGGGGGGCAAGCGUUGUUCGGAAUUACUGGGCGUAAAGGGCUCGUAGGCGGCCAACUAAGUCAGACGUGAAAUCCCUCGGCUUAACCGGGGAACUGCAUCUGAUACUGGAUGGCUUGAGUUCGGGAGAGGGAUGCGGAAUUCCAGGUGUAGCGGUGAAAUGCGUAGAUAUCUGGAGGAACACCGGUGGCGAAGGCGGCAUCCUGGACCGGCAUUGACGCUGAGGCGCGAAAGCUAGGGGAGCAACGGGA